UUUCAAAAGUUUGUGUAUUUAAUAGAAAACAAAUAUUAGUUUAUGUAUUAAACGAGGAUCCAAAAAUAGUUCGUGUAUUUUAUUAGCAAAUUAAAAAUAGUUUGUGUAUUUUUUUAAAAAAUAUUUUCAAAAUUUAAACACGUGUUAAUUAAACACUAACGUCGUCGUUACUACCGUUAAAUAUAGUUAACGCCGUCUAAAACGAUGUGUAAAACCUUCGAAUUUCAAAGGUUUAUGUAUUUAAUAGGUAACAAAAAUUAGUUUGUGUAUUAAACGGAGAUCCAAAAUAGUUAGUGUAUUUUAUUAACAAAUGAAAAUUAGUCCGUGUAUUUUAAAAGAAUUUUCCUUCUCUAUAAAAUAACAAUUAAAAGAAGCCGACACCAAAACCCCUUUUCCAUAACCGAUGAACCCUAAACCCCUUUCCCGUAACAUUCUCAUGUGUUUUACAUGAUUUAUCCUAAAUUCGAUCUUGUUCGCACCCUUCUCUACCACUAAAACCUUCAAUUCACAAGGGGAAGUGAAUUGGAAGGAUUGAUUGAGGUCUUUGGUAUCUGGAGCUAUAUCGAGUUCCAGGGACAUGGGAGGAGAUGAUGAAAGCACCUUCAGAACGCAUCAUCAUGAUGACACCGUCGACGAGGCUGUUGAAUCCUUGGGGAGGCAGAUGAAACAACCUAGGAGGCAUUUUCUCACAACGGGUUGGAGUACAUUUGUAUCCUCGAAAAGACUCGUAGCUGGAGAUGCGUUUGUGUUCUUGAGGUGAGAAUGGGGAUUUGAGAGUUGGAAUGGGAGUCCUUGCUACAGCUUCUCAUGCUGUUGUUAUCAAAACUAUCUUUCUUGUGUUUUACAAGCCUAGGAUAAGUCAGUUCAUAGUAGGGGUUAACAAGUAUAUGGAAGCUAUGAAGCAUUGAUUCUCUCUUGGUACUCAAAUCAGAAUGAUAUUUGAAGGAGAAGAGUCCCCUGAGUGAAUGUUUACCGGAACCAUUGUGGGAAUUGGAGAUCUAUCUUUACAAUAGCCAGCUUCUAAGUGGAGAACAGUGCAGGUCCAACAGGAUGAGCCAACAACAGUUCAGAGACCUGACAGAGUCUCACCAUGGGAGAUCGAUCCGUUCUUGCCAUCUUCCCCAGUUUUAACACCUGCUCAACAAUCACAACCCAAAUGCAAGCGAUCAAGACCUGUAGAAUCAUCUGUUUUGUUCAGUAAUGUAGUUAGAAAGAUGAGUUUGUUCUCAAGUCUCUUUCUUGAUGAUAUUGAUUGUGUCAUAUCCUGAGAUCUAUAAUGGCUAUUUGUCUCAGUCAAAAGCUGCAAGAUGAAAGUUUAAAAGAA